rnacentral:lncRNA from 13 species
UCGGCUUGAGGAGGAACCGCUGUGAGGAAAUACUCUCCGCUUUAACAGUGACCACGGCCGUGGUGAAGGUGGACGAGUACCUGCUAGAGAUGGUGGUGUAUCGUCAGGGGCGAUCCAUCGGAACCUCCUACCCCAAACUACUCAGCAACAACUACAGGGACCUGUAGUGGGGAGAUCUACGCACCCUGAUUCUGAAAUCAGGCCCAAAUGGAACCCUAUUCCCUAUGUAGUGCACUGCUUUCAACCAGGGCCCAUAGGGCUAGGAGUGCACUAUAUAGGGAAUAGGGUUCCAUAGGGCUUUGGUCUAAAGUAGUGCACUAUAUAGGGAAUAGGGUGCCAUAGGGCUCUGGUCUACAGUAGUGUACUAUAUAUAGGGAAUAGGGUGCCAUAGGGCUCUGGUCUAAAGUAGUUCACUAUAUAGGGAAUAGGGUUCCAUAGGGCUCUGGUCUAAAGUAGUGCACUAUGUAGGGAAUAUGGUGCCAUUUGGGGCCUAGUCAGAAUCAUCUGUCAUGUCGUGUACUGUGUGUUUGACACCAUAUUGUUAUUAGGUUGUGUCCUCCUCCAUCAAAUCCUUAACCUCGUUGCCAGGUUCAAUUACUAAUUACAGAUCCUGGAUCAUUCAUCAUUUGCUCUAAACUAUUAUAUUAGAGGUUACAGUUGAUCCAGGACCAGGAUUGUGUCUCUCUCUGCUACCAGCUCUCCUCUCUGUCCUGAAUAUUCUGUUCUGGUCCUUGGUCUUUCACAAAGCAGAGGGCUGUUUUUAUUUCCUGUUAAGAAAACUACUAAAGCAUUUUGACAAUCCAUUAAAACCUAGAUUUACUAUGAUAGGAACCUGAUUGUCUAACAUUAUAUUAACAGUGUUGUACUCUUGUUUUUUACAUAUUACUUAUGAUUAUUAAGUUUAAUUUCUGCUUGAAGAAAAUAAAACAAGUUUACUAUCUUAUUUAUUUAUCCUUUAUUUAACCAGGUAGACCAGUUGAGAACAACUCAUUUACAACUGAGACCUGGCCAAGAUAAAGCAAAGCAGUGCGACACAAACAACAACACAGAGUUACACAUGGAGUAAACAAACAUACAGUCAAUAAUACAGUAGAAAAGCUUCUCCUGUGCUUUUAUUUUGAAGAUUAAAACAAACAAUGGUUACAGUACGUCUCCUCGGCAGAAAACAAUACAAUCAUGUCAGACUAGAGUAUGUUAAACUACAAUUUCCAUGGAAAGAUCUCAGGUUUAUUUCACUCAAUAGUAGAAGGUUACAUGAAUGAUGCAUCGGACGUAAUCAUGAUCUGCCUAAGAACAGGUCUGUAUGGAGGAAUGUAAUCAGGAUCUGCCUAAGAACAGGUCUGUAUUGAGGAAUGUAAUCAUGAUCUGCCUAAGAACAGGUCUGUAUUGAGGAAUGUAAUCAUGAUCUGCCUAAGAACAGGUCUGUAUUGAGGAAUGUAAUCAGGAUCUGCCUAAGAACAGGUCUGUAUUGAGGAAUGUAAUCAUGAUCUGCCUAAGAACAGGUCUGUAUUGAGGAAUGUAAUCAUGAUCUGCCUAAGAACAGGUCUGUAUUGAGGAAUGUAAUCAUGAUCUGCCUAAGAACAGGUCUGUAUGGAGGAAUGUAAUCAUGAUCUGCCUAAGAACAGGUCUGUAUUGAGGAAUGUAAUCAUGAUCUGCCUAAGAACAGGUCUGUAUUGAGGAAUGUAAUCAGGAUCUGCCUAAGAACAGGUCUGUAUGGAGGAAUGUAAUCAUGAUCUGCCUAAGAACAGGUCUGUAUGGAGGAAUGUAAUCAUGAUCUGCCUAAGAACAGGUCUGUAUUGAGGAAUGUAAUCAUGAUCUGCCUAAGAACAGGUCUGUAUUGAGGAAUGUAAUC